AUUAAUUUGGGUGACCUGUUUGGAUUUCUUCAUUACUAACAGAUAGGAUACAUGGGUUUCUCUAUAUUUGCUUUGUUAUUUUAAUUUCAAUUGUUAUUUUAAUUUCAAUUUAUCUUCUUUACUGUCUUAAUCAAACUGUGGAAUUCUUUUAGAUAGGCUUCAUUUAAGGGUGAAAUGGGGUUUGUACAAGGAUGCAAGAAGAAGAAGAAGAAGAAGGGGAGGAGAUCAAGCAAAGCUCAGAUCUUUUUUAGGGUAUAAAAUGAGUAGAAAGAGGUUAUGAUCCUACAUAUGCCCUUUACUUCAUGUCAUGUCCUGUCUUCUAUCACUAAAUCAGGUGCUAGAAGGAAAGAUUACCCGCUAUUAUGUAUCAUUGGUUAAUUAGCUUGGCAUAAAUAUAUAUACAUAUAAUGUUUGAUGUGAAAAUAUGUAAGGAGUUCUAUGGAUGAAAGUAGGGCA
rnacentral:misc_RNA from 1 species